CCUACGGGUGGCAGCAGUGGGGAAUAUUGGGCAAUGGGCGCAAGCCUGACCCAGCAACGCCGCGUGAGGGAUGAAGGUCCUCGGAUUGUAAACCUCUUUCAGCAGGGACGAAGCGAAAGUGACGGUACCUGCAGAAGAAGCACCGGCUAACUACGUGCCAGCAGCCGCGGUAAUACGUAGGGUGCAAGCGUUGUCCGGAUUUAUUGGGCGUAAAGAGCUCGUAGGCGGUUCAACACGUCGGAUGUGAAAACACGGUGCUUAACACCGUGCCUGCAUUCGAUACGGUCGAACUAGAGGAUGGCAGGGGAAACUGGAAUUCCUGGUGUAGCGGUGGAAUGCGCAGAUAUCAGGAGGAACACCGGUGGCGAAGGCGGGUUUCUGGGCCAUUACUGACGCUGAGGAGCGAAAGCGUGGGGAGCAAACAGGAUUAGAUACCCGAGUAGUC
rnacentral:rRNA from 1 species